rnacentral:lncRNA from 1 species
CUUCAUUAUUUAGAUAUUUUGAUAUAAAACAUAUAAUAAUUAAAAGAUGUGGUAUGAUUAACAAUGAAACAACUUCCAACCAAAAAGAAACAAUUGACGAGGAUUAAACCAACAUACCUUACAUAAACCCUUUAAUGUCAAUAUAUUUCUAUUAUAAUUUAUUCCUAUAUAUACAGAAGUCCAUAGAUAUAGGAAGAUGUGGUACAUGAGUGCUAAUGAGACAAUUCUCCAUCCAAGUAACAAUUUAUAAAGUAAACCAUAUAGGUCAAGGCACUGUCUUCAACACGGAGUCUUGCCUCACACCGAACAGCAAGCUAUAAAGGGCAGAAAAAAAAUUGUUAAACUAUUCAAACGGGAAAACCAACGGUCUAAUCUAUAUAAAAACGAGAAACGAGAAACACGUAUGAACUACAUUAACAGACGACAACUACUGUACAUCAGAUUCCUGACUUAAGACAGGUGCAAACAUUUGCAGCAGGAUUAAACGUUUUAAUAAUACUAAACUUUCCCUCUUUUCUGAAACAAUAGUAUAACAUCACAACAAAGAAAGACACACUAUAAAAUAUCAAUUGGAAAGUUUAACUCAUUCUUAGUAGUUAGCAAAUAUUUCUGUUCGAUAACAGUAUUCAUAUACACAAUAACAAUAAAAAUCUAUUAAAUAUAUGUACACGAAUAGCACAUUGAUAAAGUUUGUCUUCAUUAUUUACAACUUUUGAUAUAAAACAUAUCAUACUUAAAAGAUGUGGUAUGAUUGAUAAUGAAACAGGUCCCCACCAAAUAGAAAAAACGGCAAGGAUUAAACCAAUAUAUCUUACAUACACCCUUUAAUGUCAAUAUAUAAACCUUUUAUAAUUUAUUCCUAUAUAUACAAAAAAUAUCACAAUAUUUUGUAUGCAUGCAUGAACUUCUCUGUUACCUCUUGCAUGGUUUUAUGCGAAUACACUAUUUAUCUAGUAAACAAUGCGAAAUAACACAAUUAUCUAAGAUAUUAAACUGUACAAACAUGUGAAUUAUUUACAAUUGUACACGAUGGAGCUUUUUUUGCGUUGUCUCUGUAAGGGCAAUAAGAAAGUUCUGUUUCACAGAAGCAUCUAUUACCAAAUCACACCACUAUAUCAUUGCCAAUACCCA